UAUCUCUCUCAUCAACCCAUUUACAGGCCGCUAUCAUCUUAACGGAGCUCUCAUUGUACCUCUGCAUAUAACAAGUUAAUUGAUGAAAUGGAUAAUGAUAUCUUGAAGACUCAAGCACGUUCUCAGCCAUUUCGAAGCUUAGAGUUUGAUAUGAAAAUGGAUGAUCAAGAUGCAAACCAACAAGUAGAUGAAUAUGAAGCAAGACAAGAUGUACUGGCCAGUACAAAUGAUGAGUUAGAUGAAGAACCAAAACCAGGAAUGGAGUUUAUUUUUGAUGAUAAUGCAUACGAGUUUUACAAUAGGUAUGCUAGGAAGAAUGGUUUUAGUACUCGAAAAUCAUGGAUUAAAAAAAUCCGAUGAUGGUGUCAUAGUUAAGAGGCAUUUUUGUUGUUCCAAAGAAGGUCGAAGACGUAAAAGGAGACAUAUUGAUCAGCCGAAGUUUAUCCGUCCAAUUACAAGAACUCAAUGUCUAGCAAGCAUGACUAUUAAACUUCAAGUAAAUGGGAAAUAUCGUGUGACUAAGUUUGUGACGGAGCAUAACCAUGAAGUUGUUACACCAUCAGAGGUGCACGUAUUUAAGGUCACAAAGAGGCUUGACCGAUGAACAGAUAAUUGAAGUAGAUAUAGCAGAUGCUUCAGGAAUAACACUCAAAACAGCUGGAGAAUUGAUGAGUAGACGAGCUGGAGGUCGGGAGAAUUUAGGUUUUACACCUAUCGAUCACAAAAAUUACUUACGGAGAAAGCGAAUGAAAGCAAUAGAAAAAUGUGAUGCAAGAGCUGUUCUAUAAUACUUUCAAAAAAUGUAAGUAGAUAAUCCAUCUUUCUUUUAUGCAAUACAAGUAGAUGAAGAUGAUCAAAUCACUAAUAUGUUUUAGACAGAUACGAAGUCAAUAAUGAAUUAUAAUAUUUUUGGGGA